UAGUCCGUGUAAAACUUGAGUAAAAAAAUCUGUGGAACUUUAUUAUAUAUAUAUUUUAGUACUAUACUUUGUAUUACAUUAGCAAUAUAUUUCUUUGUAAGCGCGCUCACAUAGUCAAGGCAAGGGCGGGCUCCUCGCACUGGCGGGCCGGCGAUGACUAAUACCGCUCGUCGUGCAGAGUGACGUCGCACAGCACCCCACACGGCCGCUCGCUCGCGAGCCUCAGUCCUCCGGCGCCCGGCGCCCCCACGACACGGCAACCACCUCAACUGCGCACUAACGAUUUUCCACCGCGCCCUAGGGACGCGCCCAUCUUCCGAUCACACUUCCACCACUACACUAGAAUGGACGGCACGGAUGAUCUUCUGGGAGGGUUCGGCGACCAGACGCCGGCGGCGGCACCCCUGCCUCCGAUGAAGCGCGAGCAGGACUCGACGGAUGACUUCGAGCACCUGGGCCGCGAGGGUCGCGACGACAGCGAAUCGCCGCGGCACGGGCCCGCGCGCCUCGCCACCCAGAACUUCCUGGACAUGGAACGGGACGUGUUCGCGGACUCGCCGCGCACGCCCUCCGCGGCGGACAAGCUGGCCGACCAGCUAGCCGACAAGUUCACCGACAGCGAGUCGGACGCGGACACGGCCGGCGAGUCCCCCCUGCACCGGCCCGCGCCGGUCGCUCCGGUGUCGGCGCCCGUAUCCGACCCCACGCCCGUGCUGGCUCCGGCUCCCAGCCCCGCGCCCGUGCUCGCGCCCGCACCGGCUCCGGCUCCGGCAGCCGCCCCGCCGGUGGAGAUGCCGCGGCCCGAGCCGCCGAAGCCGGUCGAGCCCGCGCCCCAGCCUAAGCCCGCCCCCGCCCCAGCGCCCGCGCCAGUGGCGGCGCCCAAACCGGCCCCGGAACCGCCCAAACCGGCCCCGGAACCGCCCAAACCCGCGCCCGAGCCCAGCCGCACGCCGGUCGCUCACGUCAUCGAAGCUGAAGUCAUCUUCUGCCAGAUGGGACUUGAUGCUUGGUUCGACCCGCAGAGGCUGCAUCCCGAAGUGGAGGCGUUAAUAUACUGGCGUAGCGCGGCGCGCUCGGGUGCCGCGCUGGGCGCGGGCCUGGCGCUCCUGCUGGCGCUGGCGUGCUGCUCCGUGGUGUCGGUGGCGGCCUACGUCUCGUUGCUGGCGCUGUCCGCGGCCGUCGCCUUCCGCAUCUACAAGAAUGUGCUCCAGGCCGUGCAGAAAACCAAUGAGGGACAUCCCUUCAAAUUCCUCUUGGAGAAAGACAUCAGCGUGCCCGCUGAGCGCGUGCAGUCGCUGGCCGCUUCCGCCACGGCGCACCUCAAUGCUGCAGUCAGCGAACUUCGCAGACUGUUCCUGGUGGAGGACCUGGUGGACUCGCUGAAGUUCGGCGUGCUGCUGUGGUGCCUCACGUACGUGGGCGCCUGCUUCAACGGCAUGACGCUCAUCAUCCUGGGUCAGUAUUACCUUUUGAACGUUUCAGACUGUUCCUGGUGGACUCGCUGAAGUUCGGCGUGCUGCUGUGGUGCCUCACGUACGUGGGCGCCUGCUUCAACGGCAUGACGCUCAUCAUCCUGGGUCAGUAUUACCUUUUGAACGUUUCAGACUGUUCCUGGUGGACUCGCUGAAGUUCGGCGUGCUGCUGUGGUGCCUCACGUACGUGGGCGCCUGCUUCAACGGCAUGACGCUCAUCAUCCUGGGCUGGAUAGCGCUGUUCACGCUGCCGAAGGCUUACGAGAUGAACAAGGCGCAGGUGGACGCCAACCUCGAGCUGGCGCGCGCCAAGAUCAACGAGAUCUCCGCCAAAGUGCGAGCAGCAGUCCCAAUCGGCAGGAAGGCCGAGAGCGAGAAGGACAAGUAAAGAGGGACGGAAGAUGGGGGGCGAAGCGGGAGCGAGCGAGAGCGCGCGCAGGCAGAUCUUUUAUUAGCGCCGGAGUACUUCACUCUUUGUUAUAUUUAUUGUACUAUUAAAGAUAAUACUUUAUGUGUAAAGCUUUAUGACGAGUCAUGCGGAGAUUGUAUUUGCUUUUUGAAAUUUUAAAUUAAAAUAACUGUCGAACCA